UACGAAGGGGGCUAGCGUUGUUCGGAAUUACUGGGCGUAAAGCGCGCGAAGGCGGCUAUCCAAGUCAGUGGUGAAAGCCCGGAGCUCAACUCCGGAACUGCCAUUGAAACUGUUUAGCUUGAGGAUGAGAGAGGUGAGUGGAAUUCCCAGUGUAGAGGUGAAAUUCGUAGAUAUUGGGAAGAACACCGGUGGCGAAGGCGGGACUCUGGGCCGAUACUGACGCUGAGGAGCGAAAGCGUGGGGAGCAAACAGG
rnacentral:rRNA from 1 species